UAUUCCCCCGCCACGAAGUGAGGGGGAUACAGGUUUGAGCUCCUCUGUCCGUCCGAGAUGAUGGGGACAGAUUUUCUCAGAAACUGUUAUAGACAGGGAAACCAAACGUAUGUAUAUUCA